rnacentral:rRNA from 1 species
AUUGAACGCUGGCGGCAUGCUUUACACAUGCAAGUCGAACGGCAGCGCGGGCUUCGGCCUGGCUGCGAGUGUCGAACGGGUGAGUAAUGCAUCUGAACGUGCCCAGUAGUGGGGGAUAGCCCGUCGAAAGCCGGAUUAAUACCGCAUACGACCUGAUGGUGAAAGCGGGGGACCGAAAGGCCUCGCGCUAUUGGAGCGGCCGAUGUCGGAUUAGCUAGUUGGUGGGGUAAAGGCUUACCAAGGCGACGAUCCGUAGCUGGUCUGAGAGGACGACCAGCCACACUGGGACUGAGACACGGCCCAGACUCCUAAGGGAGGCAGCAGUGGGGAAUUUUGGACAAUGGGGGCAAACCUGAUCCAGCCAUGCCGCGUGCGGGAAGAAGGCCUUCGGGUUGUAAACCGCUUUUGUUCGGGAAGAAAUCCUCUGGGCUAAUACCCCGGGGGGAUGACGGUACCGGAAGAAUAAGCACCGGCUAACUACGUG